ACGUACACUCCUACGGGAGGCAGCAGUGGGGAAUAUUGGACAAUGGGCGCAAGCCUGAUCCAGCCAUGCCGCGUGAGUGAUGAAGGCCCUAGGGUUGUAAAGCUCUUUCACCGGAGAAGAUAAUGACGGUAUCCGGAGAAGAAGCCCCGGCUAACUUCGUGCCAGCAGCCGCGGUAAUACGAAGGGGGCUAGCGUUGUUCGGAAUUUCUGGGCGUAAAGCGCACGUAGGCGGAUCGAUCAGUCAGGGGUGAAAUCCCAGGGCUCAACCCUGGAACUGCCUUUGAUACUGUCGAUCUGGAGUAUGGAAGAGGUGAGUGGGAUUCCGAGUGUAGAGGUGAAAUUCGUAGAUAUUCGGAGGAACACCAGUGGCGAAGGCGGCUCACUGGUCCAUUACUGACGCUGAGGUGCGAAAGCGUGGGGAGCAAACAGGAUUAGAAACCCUGGUAGUCCCAU
rnacentral:rRNA from 1 species